UACGGAGGGGGCUAGCGUUGUUCGGAAUUACUGGGCGUAAAGCGCACGUAGGCGGCUUUGUAAGUUAGAGGUGAAAGCCCAGGGCUUAACCCUGGAAUUGCCUUUAAGACUGCAUCGCUCGAAUUGUGGAGAGGUGAGUGGAAUUCCGAGUGUAGAGGUGAAAUUCGUAGAUAUUCGGAAGAACACCAGUGGCGAAGGCGACUCACUGGACACAUAUUGACGCUGAGGCGCGAAAGCGUGGGGAGCAAACAGG
rnacentral:rRNA from 1 species